rnacentral:rRNA from 1 species
UAAAGAGGGUGCAAGCGUUAAUCGGAAUUACUGGGCGUAAAGCGUGCGUAGGCGGUUUGUUAAGUCAGGCGUGAAAUCCUGGGGCUCAACCUCAGAAUUGCGCUUGAUACUGACAGACUCGAGUGUGGUAGAGGAUAGUGGAAUUCCCGGUGUAGCGGUGAAAAGCGUAGAUAUCGGGAGGAACAUCAGUGGCGAAGGAGGCUAUCUGGAACAACCUUGACAGUGAGGUACGAAAGCGUGGGUAGCAAACAGG